rnacentral:rRNA from 1 species
UACGUAGGGUGCGAGCGUUGUCCGGAAUUAUUGGGCGUAAAGGGCUCGUAGGUGGCCAACUAAGUCAGACGUGAAAUCCCUCGGCUUAACCGGGGAACUGCGUCUGAUACUGGCGAGCUUGAGUGCAGGAGAGGAACGCGGAAUUCCAGGUGUAGCGGUGAAAUGCGUAGAUAUCUGGAGGAACACCGGUGGCGAAGGCGGCGCACUGGACCACAACUGACGCUGAGGCGCGAAAGCUAGGGGAGCAAACAGG